UACGAAGGGGGCUAGCGUUGUUCGGAAUUACUGGGCGUAAAGCGCACGUAGGCGGAUUGGUCAGUUAGGGGUGAAAUCCCAGGGCUCAACCCUGGAACUGCCUUUAAUACUGCCAAUCUAGAGUUCGAGAGAGGUGAGUGGAAUUCCGAGUGUAGAGGUGAAAUUCGUAGAUAUUCGGAAGAACACCAGUGGCGAAGGCGGCUCACUGGUCCGGUACUGACGCUGAGGUGCGAAAGCGUGGGGAGCGAACGGG
rnacentral:rRNA from 1 species